rnacentral:rRNA from 1 species
UACGUAGGGUGCAAGCGUUGUCCGGAAUUAUUGGGCGUAAAGAGCUCGUAGGUGGCUUGUUGCGUCUGCCGUGAAAGCCCGUGGCUUAACUACGGGUCUGCGGUGGAUACGGGCAGGCUAGAGGCUGGUAGGGGCAAGCGGAAUUCCUGGUGUAGCGGUGAAAUGCGCAGAUAUCAGGAGGAACACCGGUGGCGAAGGCGGCUUGCUGGGCCAGUUCUGACGCUGAGGAGCGAAAGCGUGGGGAGCAAACAGG